AUAUGCAUAUAAAAAUUUGAACUAUAAAAUAAGCAUGUCAUGCAUGAAAACUAGUUUACUUGAUAGAUCAAAUCUACAACUACUAGGACUCCGAACCCUAUACCUAAGUGCAGAUUGAUGAUCAUCAUUGCUGAUAGAUGUGGAAAUAAAUUCUUUCUAAUGUUGAGCAGCCACACAGCACGUCCGACCUCUACAGGACGUCCACUUGAAGCCCUGAUC
rnacentral:lncRNA from 1 species